CAGCAGCCGCGGGAAAACGAAGGGGGCUAGCGUUGUUCGGAUUUACUGGGCGUAAAGCGCACGUAGGCGUAUCGAUCAGUCAGGGGUGAAAUCCUGGAGCUCAACUCCAGAACUGCCUUUGAUACUGUCGAUCUCGAGUCCGGAAGAGGUGAGUGGAACUCCUAGUGUAGAGGUGGAAUUCGUAGAUAUUAGGAAGAACACCAGUGGCGAAGGCGGCUCACUGGACCGGUACUGACGCUGAGGUGCGAAAGCGUGGGGAGCAAACAGGAUUAGAGACCCCGGUAGUCCCUGUCUCUUAUAA
rnacentral:rRNA from 1 species